rnacentral:misc_RNA from 1 species
GAAAUGCGAUAAGUAAUGUGAAUUGCAGAAUUCAGUGAAUCAUCGAAUCUUUGAACGCACAUUGCGCCCCCUGGUAUUCCGGGGGGCAUUCCUGUUCGAGCGUCAUUUCACCACUCAAGCCUCGCUUGGUAUUGGGCAACGCGGUCCGCUGCGUGCCUCAAAUCGACCGGCUGGGUCUUCUGUCCCCUAAGCGUUGUGGAAACUAUUCGCUAAAGGGUGUUCGGGAGGCUACGCCGUAAAACAACCCCAUUUCUAAGGUUGACCUCGGAUCAGGUAGGGAUACCCGCUGAACUUAAGC